CAGCCGCCGCGGUAAUACCGGCGGCCCGAGUGGCGGUCACUAUUAUUGGGCUUAAAGCGUCCGUAGCCGGGUUGGGAAGUCCUCCGGGAAAUCUGGCCGCUUAACGGUCAGAAUGCCGGAGGAUACUCCCAGCCUAGGGAGCGGGGGAGGCCGAGGGGAUUCCCGGGGGUGGGGGGAAAUCCUAUAAUCCCGGGAGGACCACCUGUGGCGAAGGCGCUCGGCUGGAACGCGUCCGACGGUGAGGGACGAAGGCCAGGGGAGCAAACCGGAUUAGAUACCCGGGUAGUCCUGGCUGUAAACGAUGCGGACUUUGUGUCGGACAAGCUAUGAGCUUGUCCGGUGCCGGAGGGAAACCGUUAAGUCCGCCGCCUGGGGAGUACGGCCGCAAGGCUGAAACUUAAAGGAAUUGGCGGG
rnacentral:rRNA from 1 species